AUGGAUUGCAACUUCCUCGUCUGGAAUGUGCGCGGGCUGAAUAACCCUGCUCGCCGUGCUGUCGUUCGAUCUGUUAUCUGCAACAACAAUGUUUCCCUUCUCUGUUUGCAAGAGUCAAAGUUAGAAUUCGUUGAUUUGGGUAUCGUACAGCAGUGUUGUGGGAGCCGUUUCUCUGAUUUCAUCUUCGCACCUUCAGUUGGUACUAGAGGAGGGCUGAUUCUGGCUUGGGACAAUGCAAUGGUCGAUUUCUGCAAUCGGUCAUUUCUGCUAGUUUCAUUGCUGCUGAAGGCGUUUUUAUUCAGUCAGGAUCGAAAUUCAACCUGA
rnacentral:rRNA from 1 species